rnacentral:rRNA from 1 species
AGAGCGAACGCUGGCGGCAGGCUUAACACAUGCAAGUCGAGCGGACGUAGCAAUACGUCAGCGGCAGACGGGUGAGUAACGCGUGGGAACAUACCUUUUGGUUCGGAACAACACAGGGAAACUUGUGCUAAUACCGGAUAAGCCCUUACGGGGAAAGAUUUAUCGCCGAAAGAUUGGCCCGCGUCUGAUUAGCUAGUUGGUGAGGUAACGGCUCACCAAGGCGACGAUCAGUAGCUGGUCUGAGAGGAUGAUCAGCCACAUUGGGACUGAGACACGGCCCAAACUCCUACGGGAGGCAGCAGUGGGAAUAUUGGACAAUGGGCGCAAGCCUGAUCCAGCCAUGCCGCGUGAGUGAUGAAGGCCCUAGGGUUGUAAAGCUCUUUGUGCGGGAAGAUAAUGACGGUACCGCAAGAAUAAGCCCGGCUAACUUCGCGCCAGCAGCCGC